UACGAAGGGGGCUAGCGUUGCUCGGAAUUACUGGGCGUAAAGCGCACGUAGGCGGAUUGUUAAGUCGGGGGUGAAAUCCUGGAGCUCAACUCCAGAACUGCCUUCGAUACUGGCGAUCUCGAGUUCGGGAGAGGUGAGUGGAACUGCGAGUGUAGAGGUGAAAUUCGUAGAUAUUCGCAAGAACACCAGUGGCGAAGGCGGCUCACUGGCCCGAUACUGACGCUGAGGAGCGAAAGCCAGGGGAGCCAAAGCGGGAU
rnacentral:rRNA from 1 species